GGGUGACUUGGUGCCUUUCUCAUCAAGAAACUUUUCUAUCCUCUAGGCCUGUACCACUGAUGAGGCUUUAUCCAGUCUUCUGCACUGACCCCAGUCUUUCGCAUGAGUGUUUGGUGGAGACCAAGGGGAAGAGCUGCUGUGAAUUUUAGUGAGACAUUGGUGAAAAUAAAGACGGAAUCUUUUUUCCAUCUGUGUUCAAUUCUCCUUUGAUUCCUGUCUAUGGAUCCCCCCAAGAGGAACACUGGAUUAAGCAACCUCUCUGCUGAAGCAGAGAACCAUCAAAAGCAAUCAGAGGUCAUGUUUUUGUCUCCUGGCUAACUGGAACUCAGACUUUAUG